UUCUUGUGAAUCUUGGAUGGUGACUUGAAAACUUCUGGUCUCAGGAUCAAGCUUCUUGAAAGCUAAAACUCUCUCUCUUGCAGCAGGAGUUAACUUGAGAUGAGUAACGGAUAUAGCUGAAAAAACACAAAAGACAAAAAAGACAUUAGUGAUCCUCAUCAUAAGAGACAAGUCUGAUGAUGAUCCUUCCAGGAUCCUCUAUCCUACCAUGACCCACUCCUUGGGCAGAUCCUUCCCAUUAGGGAUGGUAUCCCUCCUAACAAAGAAGAACCGUCGCUUCCAAUUCGUGUCAUUCUUGGUGACCUUGAAAACAGGGUGAUCCUCUCCGGCUUUCCGUUUAAACAAAUAUCGACAGGAUCCAAACGUUGUGAGAUCAUACAUCUCAGCCAGCUCCGCCAUUCCUAAAUCAAUCCCUUCCUGCUCAAUGAUCCUUUCAAGGGUAUACAAAACCCUCCAG
rnacentral:lncRNA from 1 species